GUGCUUGCUUUGGCAGCACAUAUACUAAAAUUGCAAUAAUACAGAGAAGAUUAUCAUGGCCCUUGCACAAGAGUGAUACCCACGUUCAUAAAGCAUUCCAUAUUUUU